ACUCUUAGGUGUAAUACAUAUCAGAGUGCAAAUCUGAAGUAGGCUAUCUGCCAGGAGUU
rnacentral:tRNA from 1 species